UACGUAGGGCGCAAGCGUUAUCCGGAAUUCUUGGGCGUAAAGAGCUCGUAGGCGGUUUGUCGCGUCUGCCGUGAAAGUCCGGGGCUCAACUCCGGAUCUGCGGUGGGUACGGGCAGACUAGAGUGAUGUAGGGGAGACUGGAAUUCCUGGUGUAGCGGUGAAAUGCGCAGAUAUCAGGAGGAACACCGAUGGCGAAGGCAGGUCUCUGGGCAUUAACUGACGCUGAGGAGCGAAAGCAUGGGGAGCGAACGGG
rnacentral:rRNA from 1 species